GACGAACGCUGGCGGCGUGCUUAACACAUGCAAGUCGAACGGAAAGGCCCUGCUUUUGUGGGGUGCUCGAGUGGCGAACGGGUGAGUAACACGUGAGUAACCUGCCCUUGACUUUGGGAUAACUUCAGGAAACUGGGGCUAAUACCGGAUAGGAGCUCCUGCUGCAUGGUGGGGGUUGGAAAGUUUCGGCGGUUGGGGAUGGACUCGCGGCUUAUCAGCUUGUUGGUGGGGUAGUGGCUUACAAAGGCUUUGACGGGUAGCCGGCCUGAGAGGGUGACCGGCCACAUUGGGACUGAGAUACGGCCCAGACUCCUACGGGAGGCAGCAGUGGGGAAUAUUGCACAAUGGGCGGAAUCCUGAUGCAGCAACGCCGCGUGCGGGAUGACGGCCUUCGGGGUGUAAACCGCUUUCGCCUGUGACGAAGCGUGAGUGACGGUAAUGGGUAAAGAAGCACCGGCUAACUACGUG
rnacentral:rRNA from 1 species